rnacentral:rRNA from 1 species
UUAAGCAUAUCAAUAAGCGGAGGAAAAGAAACUAACAAGGAUUCCCCUAGUAACUGCGAGUGAACCGGGAAAAGCUCAAAUUUUGAAUCUGGCGGUCUUUUAGGCCGUCCGAGUUGUAAUCUAGAGAAGUGUUUUCCGCGCUGGACCGUGUAUAAGUUUCCUGGAAUGGAACGUCGUAGAGGGUGAGAAUCCCGUCUUUGACACGGACUACCAGGGCUAUGUGAUGCGCUCUCGACGAGUCGAGUUGUUUGGGAAUGCAGCUCAAAUUGGGUGGUAAAUUCCAUCUAAAGCUAAAUAYAGGCGAGAGACCGAUAGCGAACAAGUACCGUGAGGGAAAGAUGAAAAGAACUUUGGAAAGAGAGUUAAACAGUACGUGAAAUUGCUGAAAGGGAAACGCUUGAUGUCAGUCGCGUUCGCCGGGGAUCAGCCUUGCUUAACGGCUCGGCGUACUUCCUGGUGGACGGGUCAGCAUCAGUUUUGAUCGUCGGAAAAUGGCUUGAGGAAUGUGGCAUUCUUUCGGGAGUGUGUUAUAGACUUGAGUCGAAUACGAUGGUUGGGACUGAGGAACUCAGCACGACCUUAGGGUUCGGGACUUCGGUCUACGUUUGCGUGCUUAGGAUGCUGGCAUAAUGGCCUUAAGCGACCCGUCUUGAAACACGGACCAAGGAGUCUAACGUGCAUGC